ensembl:lncRNA
CUAGGGACUGAACCUGGAUCUCAUGUCUCCUGCAUUGGCAGGCAGAUUCUUUACCAGCUGAGCCACCAAGAAAGGCCUAACAAAGUACUGCUCUGCCUAAUUUUGUCAAUUACAGCGCUGCUGGGAAGCACAGGCAGGAGUUGCAGAAGAGGUACCUAAAUGCCAGAGAUGAAGUUAUCCAUUAAGUCCCAACUAAGCAGGCCCAGGCAUGGUUUUCUAUUUGGGUGUGAAUAUGGCAGCUUCUUAGAACUUUUUUUCUUUUAAGGUGUGUGUGUGUGUGUGUGUGUGUGUUUAAAUGGACCAUUUUUAAAGCCUUUAUUGUAUUUGUUACAAUAUUGUUUCCAUGCUUUGGUUCUUUGGCUGAGAGGCAUGUGGGAUCUAAGCUCCGCCGACCAGGAAUCCAACCUGUACCCCUGCAUUGAAAGUCGAAGUCUUAACCACUGGACCACGAGGGAAGUCCCAGAAAGGUUCUUGAACAUAUAAUUAACCAAAUACAAGUUCAGUAGCUGAACUCCACAUAUAUAGUUUUAACCAACUCCAGAGAACAUUCCACUUUAGUUAACCCCUAAUUAUCUGAUAUCCAACUCCUGUCACAAAGCCAGCUGAGGCAUGCAGAAAAGUGAGCUUAUGAAAUCUGAGAAUGCUUUAUUUCUCAAGAGUGAGUCCCUAGAUUCUAUCCUUGCAGCUAGGUGGCAGUCUAGAAAACUACCUUGAACGCCUCCUUCAGGUUCCCCAUAGAAAUUCCUUCAUAGUGAAAAUCGCUCAGUGUCCGACUUUUUGCAACCCCAUGCACUGUAGUCUGCCAGGCUCUCUUUGUCCUUGGAAUUCUCCAGGCAAGAAUACUGGAGUGGGUAGCCGUUCCCUUCUGCAGUGGCCCGCAUUCUGUCAGACCUCUCCGCCAUGACCCGCCCAUCUUGAGUGGCCCCACAGCGCAUAGCUUAGUUUCACUGAAGUGGGUAGCCGUUUCCUUCUCCAGGGGAUCAUCCUGACCCAAAAAUCGAACCCGUGUCACCCGCAUUGCAGGCAGACUCUUUACCACUGAGCCACCAGGGAGGCCCUCCUUCAUGGACCCAUAACUUAAUAUUCUCUUACUUCUGUUGAGGACAGACAGAAAUAAAAAUGAGCCCAAAAUGUUUCUUCAACUUCUAUGAAGGUUUUAUUGAAAAAAUGUGUAAUAUGUUUUUAUCUAAAUAGUCAUUUUUGACUGCACUUUGGCAUACUGGAUCUUAGUUCCCUGAGCAGGAAUGGAGCUCACACCCCCUGCAUUGAAAGUGCUGAGUCUUAACCACUGGACUGCCAGGGAAUUCCCCUGGAUAUUCUUUAAAAUGUAGUGAUAGGAAUUUCUUUUUAAAUUUUAUACAUGCUGAUAUUAGAUAAUAGAGCUAAAUAAUGCUUCCCUGUUGCUUUGAUUGCUGGAAAACAGAGCUCCCAGUUUGUGCUCAAUUAGAUUAAUUGCUUUUCUCCUAGGUUUUUCAGUAGUAUAUAACCCUUUCAGUAGUUGGCUCAUGUCCUGUUGUGUAUUUUAGAUAGAAUUUACAUUUAAUAAAAUGUACAUGUAUUCAAUACAGUGAAUUAUGACAAUUUUCUAUGUCUGGGUUAACAGUCAUCAGAACAACUUCAUUAUCCCAGAGAGUUUCCUUGUACUCCUUUCCAAUCAAUUUUCCUCCAUCUGAUGAAACUACUUGCUGAAUUCUAUGACCCUAGAUUAGUUCUUGGUUGUUCUUGAAAUUUACUUGAAUCGUAGAACUUGUAGUCUUUUAGUCUGGCUUUUUUCAAUCAAAAUUUUUGACAUCCACGUUGUUGCAUGAAUCAGUAUUUCUUUUUAAUUGCUGAGUAGUAUUUUACCUAGGGGCUUCCCACGUUGUGCAGUGGUAAAGAAUUCUGCCAAAGCAGGAGACGGGUUCAAUCCCUGGGUUGGGAAGAUCCCCUGCAGGAGGAAGUGGCAACCCACUUCAGUAUUCUUACCUGGAGAAUUCUAUGGACAGAGGAGCCUGGCAGGCUACAAUCCAUGAGGUUGCCAGAGUUGGAUAUGACUUAGCAACUGAACAACAAUUUUACUUUUUAAUAAAUACUAUAAUUUAUCAUUUCUCCUGCAUAUGGAGUUAUUUCCAAUGCUUGGCUAUUAUGGAUAAAGUUGGUAUGAGCAUUCAUGCACAAUUCUUUGUGGAUAGCUCAUGUUUCAAAAUCUUUGUUCAAUGUUUUCAUUGUGAAAGUCUCUUUAUUGUAAACCUCACAUCUGGAUGGGGAGGGGGAGUGAAAAUAUAGCAGUCCCAGUAUUAGAUUUAUAUCAUAACUUAAACACUGAAAACAACUUAUAUAUUUUAGUUUCCCAUUGUUUUGAAACUGAAGGCCAAGGAAAGUACAUAACUUAUCCCUUCAAAUAAACAUCUGUCAUUUGGAAAACUUCUCAUUUAAAUUCCCCCUAAGCUAAAGGUUGGAUAGCAUCACC